UCACGACAGAUCUCAUCUCAUCUCCUUCUCUGCUUUUUUUUCCCCGAUUCUCUCUUCACUCUAACCUCUCAUCCUCAUAUCCAAUAUCUCUCUUCUCUCUCAUCUCUCUCAACGCCUCUCUCAUCUCGCCCAUCUCUCUCAACGCCUCUCUCAUCUUACCACCACCGUGUCUCCUCCUCGUCUCACCACCACCGUUUUCCCCCUUGUCUCACCACCACCACGGUCGACAUAGGAGGAGCCAAGGUUCAUGGUGGCUGGAGGAAGCAAGGUUCAUGGCUGCUGGAAGAGGGACAAGGCUAUGGAGGAGGCGGCAGGAGUUUUUUCUUUAGGUUUAGGUUAGGUUUGGUUAAGUGUAAACCGAGUUAGGAAAAUUGUAGUGGUCUGAUUUUAUUUUUUAAUUUCUGGUUUAGUUUUGUAAACCAGAAUUAAUCUGUAAACCAAAUAAAAUUUAUUUUAUUUUCA